rnacentral:rRNA from 1 species
AAAUCGUACCCCAAACCGACACAGGUGGUCAGGUAGAGAAUACCAAGGCGCUUGAGAGAACUCGGGUGAAGGAACUAGGCAAAAUGGUGCCGUAACUUCGGGAGAAGGCACGCUGGUGUGUAGGUGAAGUCCCUGCGGAUGGAGCUGAGACCAGUCGAAGAUACCAGCUGGCUGCAACUGUUUAUUAAAAACACAGCACUG